GGCCUACUAGUGCUUACUACAAGCUGUGUUCAUACACUGACUGUACAGAAGAAGAGGCAGAGUAAACCUACCCCAAAUACACCUCAGCACAAGCUCUGUGCCUAGACUGUAUUGUGAAUGAGAGACAUGG
ensembl:snoRNA